GGCUUAUUGAGUAUAAUUUUAGGUCUGAUCUGCCCAAUGAAUUAUUAAAUGGCUGCAGUAUUUUAACUGUACAAAGGUAGCAUAAUAAUUAGUUUCCUAAUUAGGAACUGGAAUGAAUGAUUGAACGAGAUAAUAACUGUCUUAAUAUAAAUUUUAGAAUUUUAUCUUUAAGUUAAAAAGCUUAAAUAGAUUUAAAAGACGAGAAGACCCUAUAGAAUUUUAUAUAAUUUUUUUAUUUAUAUUUUGGUAUUUAAAGUAUGAAUUUAUUGAAGAAUAUUUGGUUGGGGUGAUUGGAAAAUUUAUUUAACUUUUUUUUAUUUUUAUCAUUUAUAUAUGUAUUUUUGAUCCGGAGUGUGUCGAUUAUAAGAUUAAAUUACCUUAGGGAUAACAGCGUAAUUUUUUUGGAGAGUUCUUAUCGAUAAAAGAGAUUGCGACCUCGAUGUUGGAUUAAAGUUAAUUUUUAAAGUAGAAAUUAAAAUAUUAGGUCUGUUCGACCUUUGAAACUUUACAUGAUCUGAGUUUAAAUCGGCGUGAGCCAGGUUGGAUUCUAUCUUUAAAAUUUGUUAGUACUAUAGUACGAAAGGACCUAGUAUUAGUUAAAAUAAUUUGGUUUGAGUAUUAUUAUUAUUUUGGCAGAUUAGUGCUUUAAAUUUAGAAUUUAAGAAUGUAUUUUUAUACAAAUAAUAC
rnacentral:misc_RNA from 1 species